rnacentral:rRNA from 1 species
UACGUAGGGCGCGAGCGUUGUCCGGAAUUAUUGGGCGUAAAGAGCUCGUAGGCGGCCUGUUGCGUCCGCUGUGAAAUCCCAGGGCUCAACCCUGGGCGUGCAGUGGAUACGGGCAGGCUGGAGGCAGGCAGGGGAGAACGGAAUUCCCGGUGUAGCGGUGAAAUGCGCAGAUAUCCGGAGGAAUACCAAAGGCGAAGGCAGUGUCCUGGCUGGCAUCUGACGCUGAGGCGCGAAAGCUAGGGGAGCGAACAGG